rnacentral:rRNA from 1 species
UACGGAGGGAGCUAGCGUUGUUCGGAAUUACUGGGCGUAAAGGGCGCGUAGGCGGCCUGUUAAGUCGAACGUGAAAUCCCUGGGCUCAACCCAGGAACUGCGUCCGAUACUGGCAGGCUUGAAUCCGGGAGAGGGAUGUGGAAUUCCAGGUGUAGCGGUGAAAUGCGUAGAUAUCUGGAGGAACACCGGUGGCGAAGGCGGCAUCCUGGACCGGUAUUGACGCUGAGGCGCGAAAGCCAGGGGAGCAAACGGG